AUCGCUCUUUGUAAAUAUAAAAUAAGGAGUCGUACCUGCCCGGUGAAAAAUUUAACGGCCGCAGUACCCUGACUGUGCAAAGGUAGCAUAAUCAUUUGCCUUUUAAUUGAAGGCUGGAAUGAAUGGUUUGACGAAAUUCUUCUGUCUCUAUCUUAUUAAAUAGAAUUUAAUUUUUAGGUGAAGAAGCCUGAAUGAAGUCAAAAGACGAAAAGACCCUGUCGAACUUUAGAGUAAUUAUGAAAUUAUAUGCUUUUUAGAAUAAAUGUUUUUUAGAAUUUCUCUUUUGUUGGGGUGGCAGAAGAACAGAUAAAGCUUCUUUUAGUUGAGGAAACUUAUAUGUUGAAAAGAUCCAUAAAAAUUUAUGAUAGUAAGAUAAGUUACCGCAGGGAUAACAGCGUUAUUUUUCUGGAGAGUUCAAAUUGAAGGAAAAGAUUGCGACCUCGAUGUUGGAUUGGAAUACCUAAUAGGCGGAGAAGCUUGUUGUUGGGGGUCUGUUCGACCUUUAAAUUUCCACAUG
rnacentral:rRNA from 1 species